AGAUAUUGAUAUUACUUCAUAUCAUGACUUGAACAGUUGAUGGUUGUGAAGAUUAGAAUGUAAUUUAUGAACUUUCCGGUAAUUUUUAGGCAGACAGAGCAAUAAAUAUAUUAUUUAAGGUGUUCUCUAAAAUGUAAAGUUCACUCAUCAACGAUUGUUCACUAUCGAUGUUAGUGAAUUACUUUGGAUUAUUUAGCACAAGUGUUUCGAUAAUAUAUGAAAAAUGUCAAGCACCUUGUCUACAACCGAGUUGAGAACAAUGCCUAGAAGACCAUCCUCCAACCUCAAAACGGAAGAUCCACAACCCAGAUUGGUCCGAGCAGCAUCGAUAGAAAAGAUCAAGAGGUUCAACUCUUUCAUCUGCUCCCAACAUUACUACAUACUACCAGCCAUUUUGAGCUGGCUCAAGUCGUCUCAGCCAAAUCUGCAGACAUCUACCGAAAGUACAAUCCUAAUAUUCAGAUCCAUGAUUUUCAACACUUUUUUCUACAAAAUGUUCUUCAAUUCCCGGACUCACGAUGUAUUCAGCAAGGUUAAGCCUGAGGUCAUUGCUAAGAACAUCGUAUCCAGCGUUAUUGCGAAUUUCCAUAAGAAGUUUUCCAAAUGCUUCGAGUCAACAUUUCUCUUGACAAUUUCAGUGUAUUCAGCUUGUGCAGUGGUUAUGGGACAACUCAUUUUUUCGCUUUAUUUAAUUUAUUCUACCUAUUUACCUUACGGAAUGGUGUUUCUAAUGGUUUGUAUGAUGACCAUAAAAUACAUUUGCUUCAAGACAAUGUCUUACAUCAUUCAUAAAUGUGACGUGAGGGAUGAGUGAAAUGUGAUUUCAAUAGAGGUAUCACUUAUAUUAAGUGAAAUUUGAUAGCUCAUCGGAGAGGGGUGAUUUUUUAUUGGAAAAAUGGUAUUUAUCCCUUCUGUAGAGAAUUGUGAUUAAUUGAAUGAUCUAUAAUAUAUCUCUACUUCAUAACAUCUGUACUGCGUUUACUUAAUUGAUUCAGGGUGUCUUUUAGCCUGUAGUUUUUGUAUAUUAAGUUUAAAAAAUGAAAAUCCUUCACUGGUAUCGAUAUACCUAUUGUGAGUAGAAGCGAGAGAGAUUGUUAACUGAAUAUUUUGAAUGAAAUAUUAAAUGUUUUGUUUCUGUGAUAAUACCGAAUUUGGAUAAAUUUCUUUUCAGAUGCUUAUGCAUAGGAUGUGUGUUAAAGCAACCAUUUUAAUGAUAAGAGACAAAUUACUUUUUUUGCAUUAUAGACUGAUGUGCCAUUUAGAAUAUUUUCCGAAAUGUGUAUUUUGAAAAGAUGAUUACUGUACAUAGUUCCUGAAAAUAAAAACUAUCUGUGUC